AGAGAGAGAAAUAAUAAGACAAAAGAUAAUAAAAAUGGAGGAAAUAAAGUUCGCUCGAAAAUCAACUGCGUUUAUUUCCUUCGUUAUCAUAUAUGACGUAUCGAUAAUAAAGUUAUUUGUUGACUAAUAAUUAUCAGUAGUGUAAUAGUAAUGUAUCGGUGUAAUGGUUAAAAAAUAUCGAAAAAUGGUUACUGUUAUCAACGGAUAAGUAAUGGCGUGUAAUUAUUCGAUGAUUCAUUCGCUUGAACAUUAUUAUGGUUCAAGUUCGACAAGUUUUAAGACCCUCGACAUCAUUUUCGCGAUCGAUUCGUCGUGGUCGAUCUCGUUCGUUGUGAUGUUCGUUAAAAUAGUGAAGGAAAUAUUUUUCUAUUUACUUUAUUAUUAUUAUUAUUAUUAUUGUUGUUGUUGUUGUUGUUGUUGUUGUUGUUGUUGUUGUUGUUGUUGUUAUUGUGUUAUUUUUAUUUUGUUCAGUUUUAGUUCAGUAGUUCAUACAUUCGUUCGUCCGUUCUAUUUGGAAACACCGAGUUUACAUCGUUCCUGUAAUAAUAUACGUGUUAUUGAGAUACAAGAAAAUUCUUCUCACUGAUCUGUCCAAACUGUUCAACUAAAUUCAACCAUAGGAACAAACUUCGACGGCAUCUAUUAAAAAAUUACAACGUUUAUCUCGGCCCACGAUUCAUCGUACCCAGGCGUAUCUUUUGAUCGAUCAUUAAUCUCAGACAUUGUUCUUCUCGAUAUAUGGAUCCUGAAGAUGGUUCAAUCCAAUAUUACGCGAGGAGAUUACAAGGAUACGGAAGAUAAAAAGCGAUAGAAGAAAGAAAAUUAGAAGAGAACUAAUUCAAUCUGUUAUCUUUAAUCAAGUACAAGACCUAAAAAUUGCAUCGAAAAAGGAAGAAUCAACGUAGACAUCAACGAAGACUCAUCUUGAAGAGAAUACUUUUGAUAUGAAAUUCAAAAAAAAAAAAAAAAAAAAAAAAGAAAAAAAAAGAGAAAAAGAGAAGAUUAAAAAAUUAAAAUAAACGAAAGGACAUCUCUAUUUUCGAAGAAACGCGAGAACAGUUGAUCAGCUUAAAUGAAAUGAAAUUAUUAAUUUUGUUAAAGAAUUUCUUCUAUGAUCAGCAUAAAUAUAUACAUACAUAUGCGUAUAUGUGUACAUAUAUAUAUCUAUAUAUAUAUAUAUAUAUAUAUAUAUAUGUUUAUACAUAAUAGAGAGUUAUAAAUUAAAAAAUAUCUUGCGAUCAUCAUUUUUGUCAAUCUAUAAAGUCGUCUAAUUUUUUCAAAUAAAUUUUCUGAGUUCAUUGAUGGAUCGAAGAUUCACGUAUGUAACACACAAGUCCCAAAACACGCUUCUUCUGCUCCAUUCAGUUGAAAUGAAAAGGAGAAGAGUGAAUUCGAAAAACAAAAAAAAAAUACACACAAAAAAGAAAAAAGAAAAAAAGA